rnacentral:lncRNA from 1 species
UAUUUAUAUACUAUCUUAAAAAAUAACAUUUGUAAUUUCCCAGAGAAGUACUUAACUCACUGUUCUUUCUCUUUAGCUUGUCUAUAUUUUCUUGAAACUAUUUUAAAUAAUCGUACAAACCACAUAACAUUGUUAGAAAAUAUAAUGAACAUGUUAUGUAAUAAAAUCCGAGGUGGGUUUGAAGUAUUAACUAGCGAAAAUAGAGAAAAAAAAGCUAGCUACGAAUUAAUAUGUAUUAUUUUAAAAAUAUUACAACUUGUAUAUAUGAAAAUAGAAAAAAGAUUACCUGAUGAUAUAUUUAACCUGUUUAAAUAUAUAAAAAAAGAAUAUGACCACACAAUAAAUAAAAGUGAUAUAAAUAAUAGUGAUAGCAGAAGUAAGGAACAGUUCAUUUAUUUUAUUUCCGACUUUUUUAAAAAAAAACAAAUUAAUCAUUCUUUAAAAUAUAUAUGUUACCCUUACACAAUUGAUAUUGUUUUAGUCAUGUCGGACAAUCAAAAAAAUCAACAAACCAAUUCAAAAAAUAAAGCUUUAUUUGUUGUUAAUAAUUUAAAAAAUUUAUAUUUAAAAAAUGUACAAGUUACGGAUUUUACUCACAACAUACCUUCUUUAUUUCGUACUCCCACCCCUGUCACUACUAACAACAACGAUUUUAAAAAGGAUAUUUCUAAUAUAAAUACAAUUGAGGGGGGGGGUGAAGGAAAAAACAAUGUAAUAAUUUAUAACAGCAAUAGCACAACAUGCUUAAAACCAUAUGAAGCAAUACGGGAGUGGAUUUUGAAUAACAACAGUUUUUCAGUUUCUUAUAUAUCGAUUGACGAAUGGAAGAAGCAAUAUGUUUGAGAGAAGAAUGGGGUUCUGGUUUUUAGAUGGAUACAAACGGUGUUGAUUUAGGUUAACGUCAUUUGUGACGUUAAUACCGUUGCACUUAAAUAUAUGUACAUUUUUUUUUUUUUUUUUUUUUUUUUAGCAUCAUUAAAAUUAAUUUUUUAAAACGUGUUAAAACUAUAACAGUUUGUUACCAAAAUGACUUUUUUUUUUUUUUUUUUGUCC